rnacentral:rRNA from 1 species
UAAGGAAUAUUGCUCAACGGGAGAAAUCCUGAAGCAGCAACGCCGCGUGGAGGAUGAAGGGUCUAUGACUUGUAAACUCCUGUAAAGAAGGAAAAAAUUCCCAUUAGAUGGGAGAUGAUGGUACUUCUGGAGUAAGCCCCGGCUAACUACGUGCCAGCAGCCGCGGUAAUACGUAGGGGGCAAGCGUUGUCCGGAAUUACUGGGUGUAAAGGGUGCGUAGGUGGUUUGAUAAGUCAGCGGUGAAAGUUUGCAGCUUAACUGUAAAAAUGCCGUUGAAACUGUCGGACUUGAGUGUAAAUGAGGUAGGCGGAAUGCGUGGUGUAGCGGUGAAAUGCAUAGAUAUCACGAAGAACUCCUAUUGCGAAGGCAGCUUACUAAGCUACAACUGACACUGAAGCACGAAAGCGUGGGGA